rnacentral:rRNA from 1 species
CUGCUCAUCUGGGCCACGUACGGAGGUAUGACGGAGGGUGCAGGCUUUAAUCAGAAUUACGUGGUGUACAGCGCGCUGAGUUAUUUUGUUAAGCGGUAUGUGAAAGUCCCGGGCUCAACCUUGGAACUGGAUUUCGAACUGGCAAGCUAGAGUACAAUAGAGGGUGUCGGAAUUUCCUGUGUAUCGGUGAAAUGCGUAGAGAUGGGAAGGAACAUCAGUGGCGAAGGCGGCCACCUGGACUGAUACUGACACUGAGGUGCGAAAGCGUGGGGAGCAAACAGGAUUAGAUACCCGUGUAGUC